UCAGAUCUAUGGUGGCAACAACAGGUUACCGGCGAUUAGUAUGGUGGUGGUGGUAGAAACGGGUUUCCGUCGACGAGUGUGGUGGUGGCCGAAAUCAGAAAGGUUUAUCUAUGACAUUUUCAACUUAUGUAGAAAGUGCAAGAUCUGAACUAAUUAUUAUUUAUCUAAAAUUAUUAUUAUUAUAGAUCUGAAAUUAUUAUUAUUUCCUCUCAAAUGAUAUUGAAGGUAUUGUCUUUGUUGGUUUGUUAUAUUAUUGUAUUUUUUGUGUUGAAGGUGAUUGCUGUUUGUUGAUUUGUUGUUGGUGUGGUUACAGGUUGAUGAAGGAGAUGGUGGUGUAGGUUUGAAUGGUGACCAUAUGUUAAAUAUGGUGAGUUAUUACUACUAUCAUAUGUUUCUGAUGGAUAUGUUUUUUUUACGACGUGUGCAGUUUUGCAAUGAUAUAUCUAUGGUGGCGGCUAAACGUUUCCGGCGACGAGAGUGGCUGUGGAUGGAUUCGAAAUGGUUGAAGUGUUUUAUCAACUAAAAUUACAACGGUAUAAGUUAUAAUUUUCAACAAUGGGUUAUGAGAAAUUUUCAAUUAUGUUUAAUGUUUUAGAGUUUUAGUCAUUUAAAAACUUGCUAUCAUAAAGGUUUGUUCAUGUUUCCCAAAAACUUGCAGAAAUAAAGAAAUCUCAAAACUAUUUAUGUGGCUUGAAAGCAUCGUGAAGGUAAUGAUUUCUUAUUUUGAUCUAAGGGCAACAAAGAAAGCAAUUUAAGUCAUUAGAAGUAUGCCAUUGAGGUUUAGCAAGGAGGGCAUACAAUAUUUGAUUCUGAAGUCAUUAUGUUUCGAACUAAUCUAUUUAUUUUUUCUUACUGUUUCCAACAAGUCAAUAUAGUUUAAGGGAGGUGCUUGCAUACCUCCACCCCUAAACUUGCAGCAAAUUAAUCCAUAGACAGGGACCUAUGCUGAUGGGAGUGUCGACAGAAAGUCGGGAUCAAGUGGCUCGGGAAGAUUGGGACUUGGGGCCACGGCUGAUCCAAAUGAAGUGAGUUAGUAUGAUGAUGUAUAUACAUCUUACAAGAAGCAGAGAAGCACAAAUUAUCACACUUCAAUGAGUGCUAGAGCAGCUGUGAGAUGAAAGCUAUCAUAAUAAGUUUCACAUCGUUGGGUCACUUGGGUGUGUAGACUGGAUCACGUUGGGUUGCCUUUGUUGAUGUUUAUCUGAAACUGGAAACUGAAGUUCCUGCAAACUUGAAAACACACUUGGUGAUGGGAUUAAAGAAAAAAGAAAGUAAAUUUCAAAUUCCUCUAAAUGCAGCACCAGACUAACAUCAUAUUUCUAUUUUUUUAAGAUCAUUUUUCCAAAAGAUACAAAAUUCCAUUUCUAUGGCUACUGCUACUAUUCCAUCUUCAUACAUAACUCAGGAACAAUUACGCUCAAAGAAUUUCAGGCGGUAAUGGAUGACAUCUUUGAAAGAUACCCUCAGGUGAAGCUAUUCCUAAAGAAUAAACAGAUGCGUGGCAUUGCUGAUCUUUUGGAAGAAUCCAAAGGAGAUGUUGAAAAAGAAUCUAUUGAAAUUACUAUCGAAGAACUCAAAACUGCACUUUUCAAUUUGGUCACUGAUGAAAUUUCCUCCUGCUACAGCUCAGUAUCUCCACAAAGAUGAAUACUUGAAAGGAAUCAAAAUAUAUGAGUCAAUUAUUAAGGCAUAUGCAUCCUAUGAUGAACAUGGAAAAGAUGAAAGGUUGAAAGAUGAGCUAUGAGCAAAGACUGUGGCUCUGUGGCUUUGUCUAAGAUGUAGCAUGAUUUGAAGUGACUCAAUAAAAAAGGAAUGAAGCCACUUAGCUUUGUGAGUAUUUUCAUAAAUAAACUGUAUUAUUUUGAAAUGGAAAACUACUCUAUUAUGUUUGAUUGCAGCCACCCAGUCGAGUCUGCAGUGUGUCAUGCCAAGUUAAUGUUAGUAUACAGUUUUGAAGAAUGAAGCAAUGAUAUGAGACAUGUAUAUAAUUGAUUUUAAAAAACUAUGAUGCAUCAUGGUUGAAUUUAAACAAUGUCAUUUUUAACCUUUGUCUUAAUCUUUCUAUAUGGUAAAU